rnacentral:rRNA from 1 species
AUGCCGUUGUCCGACUCGAAGCUUCGCAAGGUGGACUACCAGCCAGCGCUUGACAAACUAUGCAGCAAGCUGAAGGGUUGGAUUAGAAUUCACUUCUCCAUGGAUGGCCGAAUUCUGUUGGUAAAGCAUGUGCUCUCUGCUAUAGUGGUGUUUCAGAUGAUGGUCAUUGAGAUGCCUGCGUGGCUGCGGAAAAGAAUUGACGGACUCAGAAGGGGUGUUCUUUGGGAAGGAAAAGAAUUUGCAGUGGGGGGCAAGUGUUUGGUUAGCUGGCGCAUCAUUUGCAGUCCAAUCAAAUUUGGAGGGCUGGGGAUGACAGACCUGAGUGCGCAGAGCACAACGCUGAGGAUGAGGUGGUUGUGGCUUUCAUGGACGGACCCGAGCAGAGCCUGGUUGGGACUACCACUGCCGACCGAUGCCAGAGUACGCGCAUUGUUCGUGGCUUCAGUUAACUUCCACCUCGGGGAUGGGCAACGCAUUUGCUUCUGGACUGAACCUUGGAUGCAAGGGAUGAGCUUCUGCCACCGCUUCCCGGCUCUGUUUGGCGUCUGCACACGGAAGCGCCUAACGGUGGCUCAGGCACUCAUCGGCGAUCGAUGGACACGUCAUCUCAGGGGAGGUCUCAUGCCGCAGGCGAUCAGAGAGUUCACCGCCUUGUGGAUGCUAUUACAGGACGUCAUGCUGGGCCAGCAGCAGGACACGAUUUCUUGGCGGUGGACGGCAAACGGCGAAUUCUCCUCUCAUUCUGCCUAUACAGUCCAGUUUGAGGGAUCAGUGCGGACGAGCUACAAGCAACUGAUCUGGCAGUCGGAGGCACCACUGAAAUGCAAAGUGUUCUCUUGA